ensembl:lncRNA
GUGAGGAGGAAAUUGAACCAGUUAGACUGGGGAGAUACUAAUGGCAGCUUUGGUACUCUCGCUGCUUGGCAGAUGCUGAUUGCUCCCUGUAAAUGAAAACAAGCUAAUGAGUGUGUGCAAUAGCAAAAUAUUUGGUGGACUCUCAUUAGCAGAUAGAGUAUGUGGAAUUAAUUUCGCCGAGAUAAUUGUAGAAUAAUUUAUUUGCAUAGAAAAUCUAGUUUGUGGAAAGCAUCCUGGAAGAGAUUCAGACCUGCAUGGACUUUGUCUAUAAAUGGUUCCAAAUUAAUUUGAUUCAGAGAGAAAACACUGUAGUAUUAUAAACACUGUAAGCACGGGUGUCAAAGACACGCUUACUCAAUAUGUGACAUGAAGAACAUUACUUUCCACUUCUGCCCUGAGGUUGGUUGCUGGUGCAGAGAUGUCUUCACGAUGAUUACAGCACGAAGCCACCAGUCAUGUGCAUGUAUGUUUGCUAAUUUUUGUCCCAUUUCUUUUAAAUCACAGUCACACACGUGUGACUCUCCCACUCACAGUAAGCGACACAAACCUCUCAUCCCUCUACAUUUUGUGGAUGUUUGGUUUUGGGUUUUCAGAAAAUGCAGGAAUUCAUUUCUUCUCCUGAAAUCCUAAUUUUACCUUAGCAAUAAAACAAGUACUGGCAGUAGUAAUUCAGGCAAACAGAGUAUUGUUACUGUUCCCAGAAAGGCAAUAUAUUUGAAUAGCUCUGCAUAUUUAGCAAGGAAGAUGUGUUUUGAGCAAUUUUUAAUAAAGUAAUAUUUUAUAUUUCCCAUUUCACCCUUGCAGGAAACUGCAGAGAUCAGUUCUGGAUUGAGAUUGCGUCCCCAGCCUUGGAUCCUUUAACGUCCCAGAAGGCACACAUGAAAAAAGAAAAAUCCCCCUACUUACACUGUGAAGAGGUGCUAACAGCUUUAAAGAAUUACCCACCAAAUAUUAGGUGCAAUUUAAAACUACAUUUAAAGCAGCACGGGUAGUUUAAAAGUCUACGUGGCCGGCUAAAAGUCAGAGAGAGAAAAUUGCUUGAACACGUGUUGGAUGAAUUUCUGUCUGCGUGGGAGAUAUCGCACCAGUGGGAGAGCUGCUUUUCCAAUCAGGUCACCAACUCUGAAAAACAAAACUUCAAGGCAACGUUUUGAAAAAUUGGACCUCACUUUUCUUUCAGUAGAAAGAUUCACAUCAUUCGUGUGCAAGCCAAGGCUCAAAAAUAACAUAAAUCCUUUCAGUGCCGUCUCUCUCUUUGCCUGUGUAACAGAUAUCUCUGCUAACAUUUACUUUUGUAAUUUUUCACAUUGUUCUAGCUCUCAGAGGUUAAUAUUUACCAUUCAUUUUGGUAUUCACAAGCUACAGAGGUAAGCUUGCAAAUAUCUGCCUUGGGAAAAUGAGCAGUUCUGCCAGAAAAUAUGUUCAGGUUUCUUGGUGGAACUGUGGGAGACAACACUCCAUUGACAGCAUUUCACUGCAUUCAUCUGUUCGUGCUUUAAACAUCUGCGCCAUCAAUUCGUACAGUACAACAAUUGGUAUUUUGAAGGGAUAACCAGAUAAUUACAGCAAAUGUUUAUUAGUCUCUUUGAACGGCGAGCAUGCAUUGGGAAAAAAAAGUAAGCAAGCUUAUGAAAGAAUACAGGGAACACAGACAUGUUUGGGAAGUCACUGCUAUUAUAUCCUUACACCAACCAGGCAGUCGUUCUGUGGUUGGCAUCUGCACACACAGACAGUGCCGUGUGCUAGCAAAAUUCAUCAUAAGACAGAGCUGCCUGCACAAGCUGACCCACUGCUUGCAAUAAUAUCAAAUCCUAAA